rnacentral:lncRNA from 1 species
UACCAAUCAGCAGGACGUGGGUGGGGCCAGAUAAGAGAAUAAAAGCAGGCUGCCCCAGCCAGCAGUGGCAACCCGCUCGGGUCCCCUUACACAUUGUGGAAGCUUUGUUCUUUCACUCUUUGCUUUAAAUCUUGCUGCUGCUCACUCACUCUUUGGGUCCACACUGCUUUUAUGAGCUGUAACACUCACUGCAAAAGUCUGCAGCUUCACUCUUGAAGCCAGUGAGACCAGGAGCCCACCAGGGAGAAAGAGCAACUCCAGAUGCGCUGCCUUAAGAGCUGUAACACUCACCGCAAUGGUCUGCAGCUUCACUCCUGAGCCAGCGAGACCCCGAACCCACCAGAAGGAAGAAACUCCGAACACAUCCAAAUAUCAGAAGGAACAAACUCCAGACGCGCCACCUUAAGAGCUGUAACAUUCACCGCGAGGGUCCGCGGCUUCAUUCUUGAAGUCAGUGAGACCAAGAACGCACCAAUUCUGGACACACCAUCAGCAGUGUUGAGACUUUCUUGCAAAAAUGCCUGUUUGGGAUUCCUCAGAGUACAGACAAAAAGGAAGGCUUGAUCAGCAUGUGGUGGAUCUGAAGAUUCAAAGAGGUGCCACAGCUCAAAAGUAGACAUUUUGGCAAAUGUGAAGAAGUGAGAUUCAAUGAAGAUGAUAAGAAAUGAAAGGUGUUACCAAAACCCGUCCUCUCCUUCCUGUUCAUGAAUGGCAGGCAUCCUGUGGUGACUGAAGAAGGGCCUAGCAGCAAAGGGACUCCAUCGCCCGAGGA